rnacentral:lncRNA from 1 species
UUCAAGGGAGCUCUCUGGGCAAUUAACCUAGGUGAAAUUCAAUGUUUGGAGACCGACUCUAUGGAUUUGAAGAAACGGACUGAAACGGCGAAUGAUAAUUGGGUCUUCAAAAAAUUGCUGGUGGAGCAUAACAUUCACAUUCAACAUAUUUUUAGAGAAGGGAACCAAGCUGCACACCAUUUAGCUUCAUUUUCUCUUAAACAUAAUUUGUACACAACUUUUAUUGCAUUCUCAAGUUUGCCCAAAAUAGUUAGGGGGGCUAUUCUUACCGAUGUAUCUUCUCC